rnacentral:rRNA from 1 species
AACGAACGCUGGCGGCAUGCCUAACACAUGCAAGUCGAACGAGACCUUCGGGUCUAGUGGCGCACGGGUGCGUAACGCGUGGGAACCUGCCCUUAGGUUCGGAAUAACUCCCCGAAAGGGGUGCUAAUACCGGAUAAUGUCUUCGGACCAAAGAUUUAUCGCCUUUGGAUGGGCCCGCGUUGGAUUAGCUAGUUGGUAGGGUAAAAGCCUACCAAGGCGACGAUCCAUAGCUGGUCUGAGAGGAUGAUCAGCGACACUGGGACGAAGACACGGCCCAGACUCCUGCGGGAGGCAGCAGUGGCGAAUAUUGGACAAUGGGCGAAAGCCUGAACCAGCUAUGCCGCGUGAGUGAUGAAGGCCUGAGGGAUGUAAAGCUCGUUUACCCGGGACGAUAAUGACGGUACCGAGAGAAUAAGCACCGGCUAACUCCGUG